rnacentral:rRNA from 1 species
GACGAACGCUGGCGGCGCGCCUAACACAUGCAAGUCGAACGAGCGAGAGAGAGCUUGCUUUCUCGAGCGAGUGGCGAACGGGUGAGUAACGCGUGAGGAACCUGCCUCAAAGAGGGGGACAACAGUUGGAAACGACUGCUAAUACCGCAUAAGCCCACGACCCGGCAUCGGGUAGAGGGAAAAGGAGCAAUCCGCUUUGAGAUGGCCUCGCGUCCGAUUAGCUAGUUGGUGAGGUAACGGCCCACCAAGGCGACGAUCGGUAGCCGGACUGAGAGGUUGAACGGCCACAUUGGGACUGAGACACGGCCCAGACUCCUACGGGAAGCAGCAGUGGGGAAUAUUGCACAAUGGGGGAAACCCUGAUGCAGCGACGCCGCGUGGAGGAAGAAGGUCUUCGGAUUGUAAACUCCUGUUGUUGAGGAAGAUAAUGACGGUACUCAACAAGGAAGUGACGGCUAACUACGUG